CUCCAACCAUGGCCGUCACAUUGUGGAAGGCUGAGUACCACCACUUGGCAUUCCUUGAUGAUGUGAUCGGGAGCCAAUCAUCAAUAGACUUCUCCUGCGCUGUCUGCGUGUUAUCAAAGAUAAUAAAUUGUAAAGGAAGCAGUUCGGCAAGAAUGCUUGGAUCAUGACACAUUCGUUCUAUUCUCUGUGAAGGAAGAAAGAAGAAGAUGAGGCAUAGGUCACAUAGGAGAAAGGUUAUCCAAUCCUACAUAUAUACCUUGUUGUUGUUGUAGCUGCUGCUAUGGGCCUCGGGGAGUGAAAGAGGUUCUGUAUCCAUGGAUAAACCUCGGGUGAACACACUACGGUGGAGUAGAGGUGGAGAAGGAAGAGUUGGGAUGAUGGAAUGAAGCAAGAUUGGAUAACAGCAUCAAUACACGAAAGACUGAGAUGUGGAUGGACUUCAUGUUUCUUUCAUUGGAAUAUAUGGCGAUUUGUGAUUUGCGGCAGUCAUGAAAGCUUACAAGAAUGCCUUGAUCAUGACACAUUCAUUCUAUUCUCUGUGAAGGAAGAAAGACAAGAAGAAGAUGAGGCAUAGGUAACAUAGGAGAAAGGUUAUCCAAUCCUACAUAUAUACCUUGUUGUUGUUGUAGCUGCUGCCAUGGGCCUCGGGGAGUGAAAGAGGUUCUGUAUCCAUGGCUAAACCUCAGAUGAACUCAGUAUGGUGGAGAAGGAAGAGUGGGACGAUGGAAUGAAGCAAGAUCGCAUAACAGUAUCAAU
rnacentral:lncRNA from 1 species